rnacentral:misc_RNA from 1 species
AAGGAGUCUAACAUAUCUGCGAGUAUUUGGGUGUCAAACCCGAGAGCGCAAUGAAAGUGAACGUAGGAGCCACGCGCAAGCUGCAGCUUCGACCGAUCUGGAUCUUUAGUGAUGGGUUUGAGUAAGAGCAUAUAUGUUGGGACCCGAAAGAUGGUGAACUAUGCCGGAGUAGGGUGAAGUCAGAGGAAACUCUGAUGGAGGCUCGUAGCGAUUCUAACGUGCAAAUCGUUCGUAAAACUUGGGUAUAGGGGCGAAAGACUAAUCGAACCAUCUAGUAGCUGGUUCCUGC